UGCAAGUAACCCUGGUAGCUGCGUGGAGAUGGAAUUCUUUAGACCAAACUGCAUGUUGCACAGAAAGGGGGCAGGGGGAUGACACACAGAUGCAAAGAGGAAUGCAUUUGAGUCCUCCACAGGGCCAAUAUGUCUUCGCUUCCCAAGUUUUUAGUAAAUGGCUACAAGCUGUGCUCGCCUCUUCAACGCUUCUAUCAACCGCAGGACCUGGGCCUGGAACAGCCUUCAGCUCCAGCUCCAGCUCCAGCUUCCCUGUUGCUUUUGGCAGUGAUAUCAACGACAGUGAUAGAAAGCAAACUGGGAGAGCUAGCUACUGAACAGUGGCUCAACCAAACAGCUGAAAUCCCCGGACUCUUCCAUUCUCAAGAGAAGCAAACAGAUUCGACAAGAACAAAUGCAUGAUGGCACUCACCUUUAAUCCCAGC